CAUAAAAAAGAACAAAGAAACCAUCAACGCAGGGAUUGUGAGCACCGCCGCAGGACUGGGAACCGGGAGAAGUCUCCGAACGCUACCACAAAGAAGGACGAGAAAGCCGUAAACGCGGCUCGCGGAACCGGCGCCGACAUCGAAACCAUCAGAAAAAGUGGAUUGCCCUCUUUCUCCUUCGAAAACCCCCAGUGUGUGCAUCAUCAUCAUCAUCAUCAAUAUUUGGAAAAGGGAUUCUUUCUCUAGGACCUUCAAAAAAUCCUCAAAAUGUAUCCAUAUGAUGAAAAGACACUGAGAAAUGAGGUUAUCUAUCUCCACUCUCUAUGGCACCAAGGCCCCCCAUCAGACCCCAACUCCAACUCCAACCCUAACCUCAACAACCCUAACCCUAGCCCCAGCUCCUCAAGAAUCCCUUAUGUUCCCAACCCCACACCAUUCUAUUACAGAUCCUAUUAUCCGCUCUGUCACCAGCAAACGCCUAACCCAAAUCCCACUCCCUAUUAUCCGCUUUGUCACCAGCAAACGCCUAACCCAAAUCCCAGUUCCUAUUAUCCGCUUUGUCACCAGCAAAUGCCUAACCCCAACCACAGAUCCAAUUAUCCCCUCUAUCAUCCACAAACCACUAUCUCAAACUCCAGACCAAAACCCUGCACUAGAAAUUCUCUCAAACCCACCAAUCCCACAUAUUUCAAGAAAGAAAACACCUCCACCACCACCACAAGGAAGAAGAGGCUCAGAGAGAAAAAGGUCAAGAAGAAGAAGAAGAAGAACAAGAUGUCACAGCCUGACCCACCACCGGAUUUGGGUCCUGAAUGGCCGUGCCCAGAACCCCUAGAGCCAGCUCUAGAAGCAUCUGGUUGGCCUGCCCUGAAGCCCGUUUCGACCCCAAAAGAUCAACCUUUGUCAGCCAAUGAGCAUGCCUAUUUUGCUGCAAUUCAAUUACAGUACAAGGCAGCUGAAGUUUGCCGUAAAUUUUUCACGAAAAGGGUUGAUUUCAAUGCCAAUGAAGAUGAAGAUGAAGACGACAAUGGAGAUGAUGAAGAUGAUGAAAUGAUGGAAGAGGGGUCUGAUGAAAAUGAAGAAUCCAGGUUCUUUUUGCUGAUGUUUGUGGAGGACAGUGAGUUGAGGAGUUACUUUGAGAAGAAUUAUGAAACUGGGGACUUUUGUUGUUUGGUUUGCCAAGGGAUUGGGAAGAAGGCGUGGAAGAGAUAUAAGGGUUGUGUUGGUCUUGUUCAGCAUUCAUUUGCGAUUUCGAAGACGAAGAGGAAGCGGGCUCAUAGGGCUUUUGGGCAAGUUGUUUGUAAGGUUCUAGGUUGGGAUUUUGAUCGGUUUCCGACAAUUGUAUUGAAGGAUGAGCCUCUCAGUCGCUCUUUGGCAAAAUCAGUCGAGUUACAGGGUGACCCUGAGGGAAAUAAUGAUGAUAAUAAGGAUGAUUCUAGUGUUAUUAAGGAAAAUGUAGUUUCUGCGAAUGAUGGUAGUGGUGAAAAUGCAGUCUCUAUCAAUGGUAGUAGUGAAAAUGCAGCUUCUGUUGAUGAAAAUAAUGGUGAAAAUGCAGUUUAUGUCAAUGCUAGUAUUGGUGAACAUGUAGUCUCUGUCAGUGGUGAUAAUGGUGAUGAUAAAGAGGUUUGACAUGUUCAUCAGGAUAGUUGAUUACUGCAGGUGAGUUCUUUGAAGGAAGAUGGCAUUAGUGAACACGUUGAAAAUCUGUGGCUGCAUCCUAGGAAAGUUAUUCUUGUACAGAUUUUCACAUUUAGUAUGGGCAAUGGUGCCUCAGGCAGUAACAAAGACAAUGACGACAAUGAGGAUGAAGAUGAUUUAUGGAUGAAGAUGGUUUGAGGGUGACAAUGAUGAGGCAUGUGAAGAAUUCAAGUUCUUGAGAGUGUUUACAGAGACAGUGAAUUGAGAAAUGUGAAGGUGGGGAAGUUUUGUUUGGGUUGUAGUGUGAUGGAGAAUAAGGCAUGGUAACUGUUUUGUUGGGCUCCCUCACAUUCGACUGCAAUAUUGAAUAGAAGAAGUGGGCUCAUAGGGUUCAUAGGCAGGUUAAUUGCAAGGUUUUAGGUUAGCGUAUUGAUUGGCUUCCAAUAAUUGUGUCACUGGGCAGACAUUUUGGGUGUAUUCUUGGCAAAGACUGAUGAGUUGCAGUGUUGCAGGAAUGCAGAGUCUGUGAAUGAUGAUUGUGAGAAUCGUGAGAUAGUUCCAAAGGAGGAUUCUGAUCAGAAUACUGGUGAUGAGUAAUUAAGUUGUGAGAUAUAGAGCAUACAGACAAUUUGGUUUGUGGUGCUGAAUGGUAUUUUAAGGGGAUAAAAACGAGAAAGGAGAAAGAGGAAGGAAGGGAGAAGGAAGAGGAUGUCUCCUCUCCAAGUCACUCACGGGGAGCGGGGGAGUGACAGGAUUCUCACAGGGGAUAGAAGUUCAUUUCAGAAAUUGGUUUUUUGA